rnacentral:rRNA from 1 species
UACGUAGGGUGCGAGCGUUAAUCGGAAUUACUGGGCGUAAAGCGUGCGCAGGCGGUCCGUUAAGUCAGAUGUGAAAGCCCCGGGCUCAACCUGGGAACUGCAUUUGAAACUGGCGGGCUUGAGUGUGGCAGAGGGGGGUGGAAUUCCGCGUGUAGCAGUGAAAUGCGUAGAGAUGCGGAGGAACACCGAUGGCGAAGGCAGCCCCCUGGGCUGACACUGACGCUCAGGCACGAAAGCGUGGGGAGCAAACAGG